GACGAACGCUGGCGGCGUGCCUAACACAUGCAAGUUGAGCGACGAACCAGGGCUUGCCCUGGGGCAAAGCAGCGAACGGGUGAGUAACACGUGGGUAACCUACCCCGAUAACCGGGACAACCCGCGGAAACUCGGGCUAAUACCGGAUGUGCUCACUGGACUUCGGUUCAGUGCGUCAAGGAAGCUUCGGCCUCCGUAUCGGGAGGGGCCCGCGGCCCAUUAGUUUGUUGGUGAGGUAACGGCUCACCAAGACCGCGAUGGGUAGCUGGUCUGAGAGGACGAUCAGCCACACUGGGACUGAGACACGGCCCAGACUCCUACGGGAGGCAGCAGUGGGGAAUCUUGCGCAAUGCGCGAAAGCGUGACGCAGCAACGCCGCGUGGGGGAAGAAGGCCUUCGGGUUGUAAACCCCUUUCAGGAGGGACGAAGGUUCGGCGGUGAAUAGCCGUCCGGACUGACGGUACCUCCACAAGAAGCCCCGGCUAACUACGUG
rnacentral:rRNA from 1 species